rnacentral:rRNA from 1 species
GAUGAACGCUGGCGGCGUGCCUAAUACAUGCAAGUCGAGCGAACAGAUGAGGCGCUUUCUCCUCUGACUUUAGCGGCGGACGGGGGAGUAACACGUGGAUAACCUACCUAUAAGACUGGGAUAACUUCGGGAAACCGGAGCCUAUAACGGCUAAUCUAUUCAACCGCAUGGUUCAAUAGUGAAAGACGGCUUUGCUUUCACUUAUCGAUGGUUCCGUGCCGGAUUAGCUAGUUGGUAAGGUAACGGCUUACCAAGGCAACGAUGCGUAGCCGACCUGAGAGGGUGAUCGGCCACACUGGAACUGAGACACGGUCCAGACUCCUACGGGAGGCAGCAGUAGGGAAUCUUGCGCAAUGGGCGAAAGCCUGACGGAGCAACGCCGCGUGAGUGAUGAAGGUCUUCGGAUCGUAAAACUCUGUUAUUAGGGAAGAACAAAUGUGUAAGUAACUAUGCACGUCUUGACGGUACCUAAUCAGAAAGCCACGGCUAACUACGUG